rfam:Ictidomys tridecemlineatus contig028871, whole genome shotgun sequence.
GGUGUUGUGGCUCAGCGGUAGAGCGCUUGCCUAGCACAUGUGAGACCCUGGGUUCAAUCCUCAGCACCACAU